GCCCCUUUAGCUCAGAUGGUAGAGGUAUGCUGCAGUCAAUCUCUUGGGUGCGAAUUUCACCAACUAACACUAUCACAGCGCGUCACUAGUAUCAAUUACUGUCAUGACGAGGUCGCCAGUUCGACUCUGUCAGGGGGCA